UAGUGACGCAGCUAACGCAAUAAGUAGACCGCCUGGGGAGUACGGCCGCAAGGUUAAAACUCAAAUGAAUNGNCGGGGGCCCGCACNAGCGGUGGAGCAUGUGGUUUANUUNGAUGCAACGCGAAGAACCUUACCUGGUCUUGACAUAUCUAGAAUCCUGCAGAGAUGCGGGAGUGCCUUCGGGAAUUAGAAUACAGGUGCUGCAUGGCUGUCGUCAGCUNGUGUCGUGAGAUGUUGGGUUAAGUCCCGCAACGAGCGCAACCCUUGUCCUUAGUUACCAGCGGGUUAAGCCGGGAACUCUAAGGAUACUGCCAGUGACAAACUGGAGGAAGGCGGGGACGACGUCAAGUCAUCAUGGCCCUUACGACCAGGGCUACACACNUGCUACAAUGGUAGGUACAGAGGGCAGCUACACAGCGAUGUGAUGCGAAUCUCAAAAAGCCUAUCGUAGUCCAGAUUGGAGUNUGCAACUCGACUCCAUGAAGUAGGAAUCGCUAGUAAUCGCGGAUCAGAAUGCCGCGGUGAAUACGUUCCCGGGCCUUGUACACACCGCCCGUCACACCAUGGGAGUUGANUGCACCAGAAGUGGUUAGCCGAACCUUUAGGACGGCG
rnacentral:rRNA from 1 species